GUCGAGAAUCUUCCGCAAUGCGCGAAAGCGUGACGGAGCGACACCGCGUGAUGGAUGAAGUCCUUCGGGGCGUAAACAUCUUUUAUAAAGGAGGAAAUUUUUGACGUUACUUUAUGAAUAAGGGGCUCCCAAUCUCGUGCCAGCAGGAGCGGUAAUACGAGAGCCUCAAGCGUUAUCCGGAAUCAUUGGGCGUAAAGGGCGCGUAGGUGGUUUGAUUAGUCUCCCGUUAAAACUUCGAGCUUAACUCGGAAAGUGCGGGGGAAACGGUCAAACUAGAGUAUGUGAGAGGUGUGUGAAACUCAUGGUGUAGGGGUGAAAUCCGUUGAUAUCAUGGGGAACACCAAAAGCGAAGGCAGCACACUGGCACAUCACUGACACUGAGGCACGAAACCUAAGGUAGCGAAUGGGAUAAGAAACCCGAGUAGUCC
rnacentral:rRNA from 1 species